rfam:Schistosoma mansoni strain Puerto Rico chromosome W, complete genome
AUCCAGCUUACGAGUCCCAAAUAGGGUGAAACGCGUGUCAAACUGGAU